rnacentral:misc_RNA from 1 species
GGCUCUCACAUAGGUCCCAUGUCCUAUUAUAGGAUAGCUUUUGCAAUAAACAAUCCAACUCUUCCUUUCAUUAUCCUAUUAGAUCAGAUGUAACAAAUUCAAUAUACAAGAUAUAUAAUGAAUACAAAAUAUAUAAUGGAUCGAUUGUAUAUAAGAAUUUGCCACUCACACAACAAGAGGGUGCAAAAGCUGGGCCCACCCACACUUUGCACUGAUCUAAAGGCGAUGAACGGUGAGGCCUUACCCAUCAGGGCCAUCACAAAACCAAAUCCUAGGGAUCAAAAAGUGCAAGUGGUGGUGACUACAUGACACCACCAUCCAUCACCACCGUUGGAUGGACCUUCCCUUCAAAUCAGCACUACACGUUCCCAUUGAUGCAAUGUUCUUCCGCAUGAAUAUAUAAUGACCAAAAUACCCUCAUUAAACCAUUUUGUUAAGGGUUUUUAGAUCAUUUCAUAGGAAGACAAAAUGGUCAAACAGACCAAGAGUGAUCAGAUGUCAGAGAAGAAGUCAGGUUAAUAUAUUCUAUUUUCUAACUUGUUGCCAAUGCCAACACAGCCAUACACUUUACUAGAAUAUAUAUAUUUUUACCGAAGAAUUAAAUUUUAAUAAAAUAAAAUUUAUUAGUAAAUUUUGAUUAAAUUAAAGAUUUAUUAAAAUAAAGAUUUAC